rnacentral:snRNA from 1 species
CAGUGUUACAGGUCUUUUAGAAUUUGUCUAGCAGGUUUUCUGGCUUUAGCAGGAAAACCCUU